GUCCACGCUGUAAACGAUGGAUGCUAGCCGUCGGGGGGUUACCCCUCGGUGGCGUAGCUAACGCGUUAAGCAUCCCGCCUGGGGAGUACGGUCGCAAGAUUAAAACUCAAAGGAAUUGACGGGGACCCGCACAAGCGGUGGAACAUGUGGUUUAAUUCGAGGCAACGCGAAGAACCUUACCAGGCUUUGACAUGCCCUCUGUGAGACCGAGAAAUCGGCCUCUUCACCUCGGGUGGAGGAGCACAGGUGCUGCAUGGCUGUCGU
rnacentral:rRNA from 1 species